rnacentral:rRNA from 1 species
CAGUAGCCGCGGUAAUACGAGGGGUGCAAGCGUUAUUCGGAUUGAUUGGGUGUAAAGGGUGUGCAGACGGCUUAUUAAGUCACUUGUUAAAUUCUUCGGCCUAACUGAAGGUCUGCAAGUGAUACUGAUGAGCUAGAGGGUGGAAGAGAGAAGUGGAAUUCUCGGAGUAGCGGUAAAAUGCGUAGAUCUCGAGAGGAACACCAAUGGCGAAGGCGGCUUCUUGGUCCAUUCCUGACGUUCAUACACGAAAGCGUGGGGAGCAAACAGGAUUAGAUACCCCGGUAGUCCCUGUCUCUUAUAC